UUCAUCACCAGCAGGUAGCGCAGGUCCAGAGGGUCCUCCAGCUCAUGCACUGACAGCUGCCCACCACCAGGGGGAGAGAGGGAGUCAGCAGUAGAUUUGAACUUUCCUUUUUUUCCCCAAGUAAACAGACCAUGACAGGAUUUUUCACACGGCACACCUGACCUCACCUGGCGGCACACCAGAGUGCCGCGGCACACCUGACCUAACCUGACGGCACACCAGAGUGCCGCGGCACGCCUGACCUCACCUGACGGCACACCAGAGUGCCGCGGCACGCCUGACCUCACCUGAGGGCACACCGGUUGGGAAACACUGCACUAACGGCACACCCCUAGCAUGCAGAGGAACAUUCGAGCGAAGACUGGCAGUACCGAGAUGCUCCACCAGGGGGAGACAUUACCUGGAACUUGUUGGUGGAGUUGAAGGGGAUCUCGCAGAUCUUGUUGAACCUGGCUCUGAAGUCCAUGAUGUUGCCGAUGGUGAGCUCCGUGAAUUUGAGCAGCGCUGUCUCUGAGGCGUCCCCCACCACUGUUCUCUGUGGCAGACAGGAGGGGAACAGCAGAAAAAAGCAAGCAAGCCUCCAUCAGCACAAAUUCACUGCUGGUUUCCCUUCCAAAAUCCGCCCAUAUGGAAAAAUUAUAUAUGUAAAUAUUAAAUAUGCUAAAUAUAUUUGUAUUUUAAUA